GGUUGACAGCCCUGGUUCUAUGUAGGUAGGGUUAACAGCCCUGGUUCUAUGUAGGUAGGGUUAACAGCCCUGGUUCUAUGUAGGUAGGGUUGACAGCCAUGGUUCUAUGUAGGUAGAUUGAAUAGUGCAGGCGACUUACAGCGAGGCCAGGUUCUGAGUAGGUAGGGUUAACAGCCCAGGUUCUGAGUAGGUAGGGUUAACAGCCCAGGUUCUGAGUAGGUAGGGUUAACAGCCCAGGUUCUGAGUAGGUAGGGUUAACAGCCCAGGUUCUGAGUAGGUAGGGUUAACAGCCCAGGUUCUGAGUAGGUAGGGUUAACAGCCCAGGUUCUGAGUAGGUAGGGUUAACAGCCCAGGUUCUGAGUAGGUAGGGUUAACAGCCCAGGUUCUGAGUAGGUAGGGUUAACAGCCCAGGUUCUGAGUAGGUAGGGUUAACAGCCCUGGUUCUAAGUAGGUGGGGUUAACAGCCCUGGUUCUAAGUAGGUAGGGUUAACAGCCCAGGUUCUGAGUAGGUAGGGUUGACAGCCCAGGUUCUGAGUAGGUAGGGUUAACAGCCCUGGUUCUAUUUGGGUAGACUGAAUAGUGCAGGGGACUUACAGCGAGCAUUCCUGUAGAGCAGGAACGGAUCCUGCAGCUGGAAGUCCAG